rnacentral:rRNA from 1 species
CCAGACUCCUACGGGAGGCAGCAGUGAGGAAUAUUGGUCAAUGGACGAGAGUCUGAACCAGCCAAGUAGCGUGAAGGAUGACUGCCCUAUGGGUUGUAAACUUCUUUUAUAAAGGAAUAAAACGAGGCACGUGUGCCUUUUUGCAUGUACUUUAUGAAUAAGGAUCGGCUAACUCCGUGCCAGCAGCCGCGGUAAUACGGAGGAUCCGAGCGUUAUCCGGAUUUAUUGGGUUUAAAGGGAGCGUAGAUGGGUUGUUAAGUCAGUUGUGAAAGUUUGCGGCUCAACCGUAAAAUUGCAGUUGAAACUGGCAGUCUUGAGUACAGUAGAGGUGGGCGGAAUUCGUGGUGUAGCGGUGAAAUGCUUAGAUAUCACGAAGAACUCCGAUUGCGAAGGCAGCCCACUGGACUGCAACUGACACUGAGGCUCGAAAGUGUGGGUAUCAAACAGGAUUAGAUACCCUGGUAU